UGGCGGAUCGUCCAAUGGCAGGACAACGGUUUUUGGUGCCGUGAAUCUAGGUUCGAAUCCUAGUCCGCCAG
rfam:Bacterium SCN 57-13 ABT09_C0003, whole genome shotgun sequence.